rnacentral:rRNA from 1 species
CUGCUGCCUCCCGUAGGAGUCUGGGCCGUGUCUCAGUCCCAGUGUGGGGGGCCUUCCUCUCAGAACCCCUACGCAUCGUCGCCACGGUGGGCCGUCACCCCGCCGUCUAGCUAAUGCGCCGCAUGCCCAUCCGCCACCGGAUCGCUCCUUUGGCCACCGGAGGAUGCCCUCCGGUGGCGUCACGGGGUAUUAGGCCGCGUUUCCGCGGGUUAUCCCCCUGUCACGGCCAGGUUGCAUACGUGUUACUCACCCGUGCGCCGGUCGCCGG